AUACGGAGGAUGCAAGCGUUAUCCGGAUUUAUUGGGUUUAAAGGGUGCGUAGGCGGAUGAUUAAGCGUGAGGUGAAAUGCCACUGCUCAACAGUGGAACUGCCUCGCGAACUGGUUGUCUUGAAUGCUCCUGCCGUGGGAGGAAUGUGUGGUGUAGCGGUGAAAUGCAUAGAGAUCACACAGAACACCGAUUGCGAAGGCAUCUCACGAAGGGGUGAUUGACGCUGAGGCACGAAAGCGUGGGGAUCAAACAGGAUUGAUACCCUGGUAGUCCACGCAGUAAACGAUGAUAACUAACCGCUGGGUCGUAGUGAUUCAGUGGCCAAGCGAAAGCGAUAAGUUAUCCACCUGGGGAGUACGACCGCAAGGUUGAAACUCAAAGGAAUUGACGGGG
rnacentral:rRNA from 1 species